GGGCCCGCACAAGCGGCGGAGCAUGUUCAUUAAUUCGAUGCAACGCGAAGAACCUUACCUGGGUUUGACAUAUACCGGAAACAUCUGGAGACAGGUGCCCCGCAAGGUCGGUAUACAGGUGGUGCAUGGCUGUCGUCAGCUCGUGUCGUGAGAUGUUGGGUUAAGUCCCGCAACGAGCGCAACCCUCGUCCUAUGUUGCCAGCGGUUCGGCCGGGAACUCAUAGGAGACUGCCGGGGUCAACUCGGAGGAAGGUGGGGAUGAGGUCAAGUCAUCAUGCCCCUUAUGUCCAGGGCUUGAAACAUGCUACAAUGGCUGGUACAAAGGGCUGCAAUACCGCAAGGUGGAGCGAAUCCCAUAAAGCCAGUCUCAGUUCGGAUUGGGGUCUGCAACUCGACCCCAUGAAGUCGGAGUCGCUAGUAAUCGCAGAUCAGCAAUGCUGCGGUGAAUACGUUCCCGGGCCUU
rnacentral:rRNA from 1 species